GUCCGCGUGGAACAAGGUAGCUCGCUCCCUUCGCUUGAAUUUAAAGUUUGCUAAGCCAUUUAGGGGAGAGCCGGUGGUUCGAAUCCACCCGCGGGCA